AGUGAGCAAUGCAAUUCUGGGAAUGUUCAGGCUCUCUCUGUUCUUUCCUCUCUUGCAAACCAUGGGCACCCUUGGGUCCCUUGGGGUCACUAUGUUACACCUGCUUUUUAUCUGUCUGGGCAAGAGCUGCUCAAGCCACACCUUGUGACACUGAGGUGAAAAGGCAGGUCGGGUGAAGAAGAGCAGGAUGUUUCAUUUUUAUCAAGCAUCACCUGAUUCAAAAUGUAGCCACUGAAAAGAAGCCAUCGUUUUUGGCCUGCGUCUCUGAGGAUAAGAUAGUGCGUGGGUGAUGGAUGCAGCCCAGGAGAUGUGUUUGUUUGAGUAGAUCAGCUAUGAAAAUACCCAGCCGGCCUGCAGCCCUCCCGGCAGAUGCUGAAAAGGAAACCCGACUGGGAGAUGCCGCCCACCCUUAUCCCCAGAGAGCUGCGUUGUUUCCUCUUGCCUUGGCCUUUGGAUCCGGCCAUAGCAAGCAUCCCUGGGCACCUGGCUGAAGCUGGAAACUCGGGAUAAGAAUGGAAGCCCUGGAAGGGAAGAAGAACCGAGGAGAGGACAGCACAUUGCACUCUCACCUCCUUUGCAGUUAAGUGUGAAAUAGUGCCAAUAGAGUGUAAAAGAAAAGAAAGAAGAUGAUUCACCUCCCAAAGAUUCCCCACUGCUGUGUCCCUUCUAUCAACUUGAUACAAAAAAACACAAUGGCCCCGGGAACCACGUGUUGAAGAUGAGAGAGCUAAAAGAUGGAAAGAGACUGGAGCCCUGAGUCACCACCUGGAGGAAAACUACCCACCCAUCAGGAAUUUCUACUACACAUUUGGGAGUUUUUGGGGUUACAGCAGCUAAUUUAACGAAAACACCCAGAGACAAGAGCUAUUACUGCACAAAUUGGUUAAGUUACCUUUUUGUAUGUUUGGGUCCUCUCUAUUCGAUGAGACUGCGCGUUCCUUUGAAGCAAAUCUGUUUAAAAUUCUUAUAUCCCCAGAGGGCCUAGCAGAGAGUAUGCACAGAGUGAGCCUUCAGUAAAUGCUGAGUAAAUAAGCUCCUAAUGGAUGAAACUGUGUCUUCGAAGUUUGUUCUGACCAGUACUUAGUAUAGGAUUUUGUGCUGUUGGUCACUUUUCAUAAAGGUUCUUGCUAUUAAGGAACUUGACAUCCAAUGUACUCAUAGAAAGUAGAAAUUCAGGGGAAACAAAUAGAAGAGAUAUGUCCAAAAAUCCAUUUAAAAUUUCAUUGACAGAUAUUUAUCUCUUUAAUCCUGGAAGUUGUUUCAUGUAAGGGAAGGUUCAGUAGAAUGAAAACAGGACUGUAAGCUGGGAGGAGAUUUGGGGUCUCUUGGCCAACUCUGCCACAAAUUGUGUUACCUUCAACUUCCCUGCCUGUAAAAUGAAGUCAGUGGUCCCUAAAAUGAAAUUGGACUAAUGGCAAAUUAGCUAGCAUUUGAUUAUACAUCGAUAGUUUCCCCAUGUGAUUUUAACGCACAAAUCAGAUUUUGGAACCAUUAGGUAGGUGAUCUUAUCUUAUGAGUUUAUCUUUUUCAACAUGGAAAAAUAAAUUUGUUUUGCUGACCGAAGGCUGUGUAACUUAGAACUGGAAAGAGACAUGUAAUUGAAUAACCCAUCUCUAUGGGGCAAAAAAAUGAAACACCUUUAGUUUGUUCAAAGAUGAAAUGGAAAAAUAAACAUGUUUUAAGAUGACUUGGUAGAGAAAAUAUUUUCUUUGCCAGGAUAUUAGAGAAUUUGUCAAAAGUUAUUACACAGGAAAGUCAAAGGUUUCAUUGCAGGAACUUAAUAAAUAUUUGUUUAUUAGCUGAUUAAUG
rnacentral:lncRNA from 1 species